rnacentral:rRNA from 1 species
GGAUUAGAUACCCUGGUAGUCCACGCUGUAAACGAUGAUAACUCGCUGUUGGCGAUAUACUGUCAGCGGCCAAGCGAAAGCGUUAAGUUAUCCACCUGGGGAGUACGAUCGCAAGGUUGAAACUCAAAGGAAUUGACGGGGGCCCGCACAAGCGGUGGAGCAUGUGGUUUAAUUCGAUGCAACGCGAAGAACCUUACCUGGCCUUGACAUCCAGAGAACUUUCCAGAGAUGGAUUGGUGCCUUCGGGAACUCUGAGACAGGUGCUGCAUGGCUGUCGUCAGCUCGUGCUG